rnacentral:rRNA from 1 species
GACAACUCUCAACAWCGGAUAUCUUGGCUCCCGUAACGAUAAGAACGCARCGAAAUGCAUACGUAGUGUGAACUGCARAAUUCCGUGAACCAUCGAAUCUUUGAACGCAAAUUGCGCUUGAGGCUUMGGCCAAGAGCAUGUCUGGCUCAGCGUCGGCU